AACCACACCCACACAGAUCUGACUAUAGAGAGAGAGAGAGAGAGAGCGGCGGAGAAGAACCAACAGCGGCAGCAGCGCCGCCGUCUACGGCGGAGCGACGGAGGAGACAGGCGGCAUCGGUGGUUGAUGUUCCGACAACUCUUCGACACGCCCGGUAAGCGACGAUUUGGUGGAUAUCAACAGCAAUAGUGGCGGCGGAGGUGACGUCCGGUCACCAUGAACGGUUUCCGGCGACUCUCAGGUUCCCUUGAUGACGGAUUUGGGUUCGUGAACGGUCCGAUUCAGAUCAACUUUAGGGUGGUUCGAGUCAGUUUGGUUCAGAUUCGGGACACGAGCGGUUCGGGUUUCAUUUAGAUGGAGUCCAGUUUACGGUUUCACGUCGUUCGAGUUUCGGUUCGACAGUCAAAGCCUGUCAAACUUGGUCAAACAAUCAACGGGUCAGAAUCGGGUUCGGGUCAAAAUUUGUCAACAUCAGAUAUGUGUAGCUUCGGUUCAAGUGUUUAAGUUUGGUUCGGGUUCUUGUUCGGUUCAACUCAGAUCUGGGGUUCAAGUAGUCACAUCAGCAGGAUCGGGUCACGGUUCGGUUCGGUUCAACAAGUCAGACUGCGGGUCAAAGUUAGUCAACCACAGGUCAUGGUUCGUUUCGGUCAGAUUUGAUUUCGGGUCAAACUGAGUCAACUCGGGUCUACAGACAGUCAACGCAGUCAACAACAGUCAAUGAAGACCCGGAAUACUAUAGAUGCACGCUAGCUAAUUCACAUUCUUGGAACGACACUACGGAAACACACUAAGCUAGCAUUGCACAGGAACGUCAAGGUUGCAUUUUUCAAAACUAUGGAAAGGUUGGAAUAGGAUAACCCACGGGAUUUCGAGUACUUAGCAGGCGUUUAAUUUCUAGAAGUCUUAGCUUAUUUGCUUCCGCUGUGCAAUGAAGAUACCGGUCCAGUCACGCCAGCUCUGAUUUUUCGGGGUGUGA